UUUGUAAGCAAUGGUUAGUUAAUUGUUACAUUUGAGAUAGAUAUAUCCAUUGCAUAAUUGAAAUUACAUAUCUUGUAAAUAAAUUUGUCUAUCUUGACUAUCUUCGAGGCUGGUUUAUUUCAAGGGACUGAAUAACCAUUCGUGACAGAAGCCUUCAGACCUACAAAAAAAGCUUGUUAAGCCUUGUAACCAUUACAGCACUUUAUACCUCCGCUAAUUCUAAUAUGCGGCCUAUUUGUAUAGUGUGAUUCCUGAAUAUUCCCUACAGACUGAAAUAAAUUACUAAAUUAAUAAAUUAAAAUAAACUAAAG